AAUAGAUACCCAGGUAGUCCACGCCGUAAACGAUGAGUGCUAAGUGUUAGAGGGUUUCCGCCCUUUAGUGCUGCAGCUAACGCAUUAAGCACUCCGCCUGGGGAGUACGGUCACAAGACUGAAACUCAAAGGAAUUGACGGGGGCCCGCACAAGCGGUGGAGCAUGUGGUUUAAUUCGAAGCAACGCGAAGAACCUUACCAGGUCUUGACAUCCUCUGACAACUCUAGAGAUAGAGCGUUCCCCUUCGGGGGACAGAGUGACAGGUGGUGCAUGGUUGUCGUCAGCUCGUGUCGUGAGAUGUUGGGUUAAGUCCCGCAACGAGCGCAACCCUUGAUCUUAGUUGCCAGCAUUUAGUUGGGCACUCUAAGGUGACUGCCGGUGACAAACCGGAGGAAGGUGGGGAUGACGUCAAAUCAUCAUGCCCCUUAUGACCUGGGCUACACACGUGCUACAAUGGAUGGUACAAAGGGCUGCAAGACCGCGAGGUCAAGCCAAUCCCAUAAACCAUUCUCAGUUCGGAUUGUAGG
rnacentral:rRNA from 1 species